rnacentral:rRNA from 1 species
GAUGAACGCUGGCGGCGUGCCUAAUACAUGCAAGUCGAGCGAACGGACGAGAAGCUUGCUUCUCUGAUGUUAGCGGCGGACGGGUGAGUAACACGUGGAUAACCUACCUAUAAGACUGGGAUAACUUCGGGAAACCGGAGCUAAUACCGGAUAAUAUUUUGAACCGCAUGGUUCAAAAGUGAAAGACGGUCUUGCUGUCACUUAUAGAUGGAUCCGCGCUGCAUUAGCUAGUUGGUAAGGUAACGGCUUACCAAGGCAACGAUGCAUAGCCGACCUGAGAGGGUGAUCGGCCACACUGGAACUGAGACACGGUCCAGACUCCUACGGGAGGCAGCAGUAGGGAAUCUUCCGCAAUGGGCGAAAGCCUGACGGAGCAACGCCGCGUGAGUGAUGAAGGUCUUCGGAUCGUAAAACUCUGUUAUUAGGGAAGAACAUAUGUGUAAGUAACUGUGCACAUCUUGACGGUACCUAAGCAGAAAGCCACGGCUAACUACG